rnacentral:rRNA from 1 species
AGAGUUUGAUCCUGGCUCAGGAUGAACGCUGGCGCCUUGCUUAACACAUGCAAGUCGAACGAACCUUCGGGUUAGUCCCGGACGGGUGAGUAACGCGUGAGAAUCUGCCCUCAGGAGGGGGAUAACGGUUGGAAACGACCGCUAAUACCCCAUAUGCCGCGAGGUGAAAUGAAUUUCGCCUGAGGAUGAGCUCGCGUCUGCUUAGCUAGUUGGUGGGGUAAAGGCUUACCAAGGCAUCGAUCAGUAGCUGGUCUGAGAGGAUGAUCAGCCACACUGGGACUGAGACACGGCCCAGACUCCUACGGGAGGCAGCAGUGGGGAAUUUUCCGCAAUGGGCGAAAGCCUGACGGAGCAACGCCGCGUGAGGGAUGAAGGCCUCUGGGCUGUAAACCUCUUUUAUCAAGGAAGAAGAUCUGACGGUACUUGAUGAAUAAGCCACGGCUAAUUCCGUGCCAGCAGCCGCGGUAAUACGGGAGUGGCAAGCGUUAUCCGGAAUUAUUGGGCGUAAAGCGUCCGCAGGCGGCCCUUCAAGUCUGCUGUUAAAAAGUGGAGCUUAACUCCAUCAUGGCAGUGGAAACUGUUGGGCUUGAGUGUGGUAGGGGCAGAGGGAAUUCCCGGUGUAGCGGUGAAAUGCGUAGAUAUCGGGAAGAACACCAGUGGCGAAGGCGCUCUGCUGGGCCAUCACUGACGCUCAUGGACGAAAGCCAGGGGAGCGAAAGGGAUUAGAUACCCCUGUAGUCCUGGCCGUAAACGAUGAACACUAGGUGUCGGGGGAAUCGACCCCCUCGGUGUCGUAGCCAACGCGUUAAGUGUUCCGCCUGGGGAGUACGCACGCAAGUGUGAAACUCAAAGGAAUUGACGGGGGCCCGCACAAGCGGUGGAGUAUGUGGUUUAAUUCGAUGCAACGCGAAGAACCUUACCAGGGUUUGACAUCCUGCGAAUCUCUUGGAAACGAGAGAGUGCCUUCGGGAGCGCAGUGACAGGUGGUGCAUGGCUGUCGUCAGCUCGUGUCGUGAGAUGUUGGGUUAAGUCCCGCAACGAGCGCAACCCACGUCUUUAGUUGCCAGCAUUUAGUUGGGCACUCUAGAGAGACCGCCGGUGAUAAACCGGAGGAAGGUGUGGAUGACGUCAAGUCAUCAUGCCCCUUACAUCCUGGGCUACACACGUACUACAAUGCUACGGACAAAGGGCAGCAAGUUCGCGAGGACAAGCAAAUCCCAUAAACCGUGGCUCAGUUCAGAUCGUAGGCUGCAACUCGCCUACGUGAAGGAGGAAUCGCUAGUAAUCGCAGGUCAGCAUACUGCGGUGAAUACGUUCCCGGGCCUUGUACACACCGCCCGUCACACCAUGGAAGUUGGCCACGCCCGAAGCCGUUACUCCAACCCUCGGGAGGAGGACGUCGAAGGUGGGGCUGAUGACUGGGGUGAAGUCGUAACAAGGUAACC